UAGGGAAUCUUCGGCAAUGGACGAAAGUCUGACCGAGCAACGCCGCGUGAGUGAAGAAGGUUUUCGGAUCGUAAAACUCUGUUGUUAGAGAAGAACAAGGACUUUAGUAACUGAACGUCCCCUGACGGUAUCUAACCAGAAAGCCACGGCUAACUACUUGCCAGCAGCCGCGUUAAUACGUAGGUGGCAAGCGUUUUCCGGAUUUAUUGGGCGUAAAGCGAGCGCAGGCGGUUUCUUAAGUCUGAUGUGAAAGCCCCCGGCUCAACCGGGGAGGGUCAUUGGAAGCUGAGAGACUUGAGUGCAGAAGAGGGGAGUGGAAUUCCAUGUGUAGCGGUGAAAUGCGUAGAUAUAUGGAGGAACACCAGUGGCGAAGGCGGCUCUCUGGUCUGUAACUGACGCUGAGGCUCGAAAGCGUGGGGAGCAAACAGG
rnacentral:rRNA from 1 species